rnacentral:misc_RNA from 1 species
GAUGAAGAACGCAGCGAAAUGCGAUAAGUAAUGUGAAUUGCAGAAUUCAGUGAAUCAUCGAAUCUUUGAACGCACCUUGCGCCCUUUGGCUAUUCCGAAGGGCAUGCCUGUUUGAGUAUCAUGAACACCUCAACUCUCAUGGUUUGCCAUGAUGAGCUUGGACUCUGGGGGUCUUGCUGGCCUAUGGUCAGCUCCUCUCAAAUAAAUCAGCUUGCCAGUGUUUGGUGGCAUCACAGGUGUGAUAACUAUCUACGCUUGUGGUUUUCCAUCAGGUAACCUUCAGUGAUGGAGGUUCGCUGGAGCUCAUAAAUGUCCUCCUCAGCGAGGACAGCUUUUUGAACGUUUGAUCUCAAAUCAGGUAGGACUACCCGCUGAACUUAAGCAUAUCAAUAAGCGGAGGA